rnacentral:piRNA from 1 species
UGGAUCUUUGUGAUGUAAAUUUUCCAGGAUC